UACGGAAGGGGCUAGCGUUGUUCGGAAUUCCUGGGCGUAAAGCGCGCGUAGGCGGCUUGGCAAGUUGGGCGUGAAAGUCCUGGGCUCAACCUGGGGACGGCGUCUGAGACUGCCUGGCUGGAGUCCGGGAGAGGGUGGUGGAAUUCCCAGUGUAGAGGUGAAAUUCGUAGAUAUUGGGAGGAACACCGGUGGCGAAGGCGGCCACCGGGCCCGGUACUGACGAUCAAGUGCGAAAGCGUGGGGAGCAAACAGG
rnacentral:rRNA from 1 species